UACGGGGGGGGCAAGCGUUGUUCGGAAUUACUGGGCGUAAAGGGCUCGUAGGCGGCCAACUAAGUCGGACGUGAAAUCCCUCGGCUUAACCGGGGAACUGCGUCCGAUACUGGAUGGCUUGAGUUCGGGAGAGGGGUGCGGAAUUCCAGGUGUAGCGGUGAAAUGCGUAGAUAUCUGGAGGAACACCGGUGGCGAAGGCGGCAUCCUGGACCGACACUGACGCUGAGGAGCGAAAGCCAGGGGAGCAAACGGG
rnacentral:rRNA from 1 species